GGGCGGUGAGUUGCCGCCAACCGCCCUAACGGCCGAAACAAUGUUAAUGGCUUUCCGAGUCUGGCGGCGCGUUCCCAUUAUCAUCUUCCUGUGACCCUUCCUCAUUUUACACGGAGGAGGUGGUCUCCACAGUGACUUUUAAAUUUAAUAUUUCUCUCAUAACCUUUGUGAGAUAAAAGAAUCUUCAUCCUUUUAACUUUGACGAGGGAUGAAAUGAAGUUUUCCACAACAUUUGGGAAGAUUUACAAGGUAUAUACUCCAUUUAGGCAAAAAUAACUCUCAGGGAAUAGUCAUUGUCAAGAGCAGUUUGUAUUGCAACCCACAAGUUAUACCUCUAUGUCGGUCCGGAAAUCCUUCAAUUUACUAAGAGAUUAUGUUUGAAAAGCUUAGAAAAAAUAAACAAUCCUGAAAAACUAAGUAGGUAA
rnacentral:antisense_RNA from 1 species